UCUAGUAGCGUUGGAAUACGGGUGGUCUGUAUUGUCACCUUGUUAUUUGGGUGCUGGACUAUUUUGGGGACUUACACGUGUCACUGAUGAUCGCAUCUUUCACUACAUCUUGUAUAACUCUGAAAAGAGAGAGGCCAAAGAUUAUGGACCAAGAGAAGAGAGUGUUCGUGCUACUUUAAAAUACAUGGAGACACUUGUUACACUUGAUGGUUUUCAGCAAGUGGAGUAAAAAGUUUAACUAUAUCACUCUCACAGAAAAACAUCAAGAGGUAACUUAACAACACUUUUUUUUGAAAUUUAUUGUUGUUUGGUUGUAUAGUCUUUAAAUUCUACAUAUAGUGCUUGUUCGGCUGACAUCUGAGUACCAGAAUUUAAACUUCCUAAGAAGAGCUCACUAGAAAUGUUGUUUGGUUGACAAAUGUAUGGGAAGGGUGAAUACCCACAUCUUACAGAUGUUAUAUAACAACCAAAAGCUACGCUCAACAUGACAAGUGAAGUAUGAUUAGUUGCAGAUUAAUUGCAAUCUUUGUUUGGUUUAUGCUUCAUAUUUAAGUGUAAGAACUCAUGUUCGACUCUUAUUACUGGAACUUAUAUAGCCAUAUGCAUUCUUCUAACUUGUAAGUAACGGAAGUACUAAAUGUAUAUCCUUGCAAUGGCUAGAGUAUCUGCUAAUUAACAUUUUGAA